rnacentral:rRNA from 1 species
GACUGAGGAUGCAAGUGUUAUCCGGAAUCACUGGGCGUAAAGCGUCUGUAGGUCGUUUAAAAAGUCUACUGUUAAAAAUUGAAGCUUAACUUCAAAGAUGCCGUAGAAACUUUUAAACUUGAGUAUGGUAGGGGUAGAGGGAAUUUCCAGUGGAGCGGUGAAAUGCGUAGAUAUUGGAAAGACCACCAAUGGCGAAGGCACUCUACUGGGCCUUACCUGACGCUCAGGUGCGAAAGCUAGGGGAGCGAAUGGG